ACGAACGCUGGCGGCGUGCUUAACACAUGCAAGUCGAGCGGAAAGGCCCUUCGGGGUACUCGAGCGGCGAACGGGUGAGUAACACGUGAGUAAUCUGCCCUUGGCUUUGGGAUAACUACCGGAAACGGUGGCUAAUACCGGAUACGACAACCGUCUGCAUGGGCUGGUUGUGGAAAGUUUUUUCGGCCAGGGAUGUGCUCGCGGCCUAUCAGCUUGUUGGUGGGGUAAUGGCCUACCAAGGCUUCGACGGGUAGCCGGCCUGAGAGGGUGAGCGGCCACACUGUGACCGGGACACGGCCCAGACUCCUACGGGAGGCAGCAGUGGGGAAUAUUGGAGUGGGGACGGAAGCCUGAUCCAGCAACGCCGCGUGAGGGGUGGCGGCCUGCGGGUUGUAAACCUCGUUCAGUACCGACGAAGCGCCGAUGGUGGUGGUGACGGUAGGUACAGAAGAAGCACCGGCCAACUACGUG
rnacentral:rRNA from 1 species